rnacentral:rRNA from 1 species
UACGAAGGUGGCAAGCGUUACUCGGAAUUACUGGGCGUAAAGCGUGCGCAGGCGGUUAUAUAAGACAGAGGUGAAAUCCCCGGGCUCAACCUGGGAACUGCCUUUGUGACUGUAUAGCUUGAGUGCGGCAGAGGGGGAUGGAAUUCCGCGUGUAGCAGUGAAAUGCGUAGAUAUGCGGAGGAACACCGAUGGCGAAGGCAAUCCCCUGGGCCUGCACUGACGCUCAUGCACGAAAGCGUGGGGAGCAAACAGG